AGAGUUUGAUCAUGGCUCAGGACGAACGUUGGCGGCGUGCUUAAUACAUGCAAGUCAACUGAAGCAUCGGUAGCAAUACUGAUGUGGAGGUGGCGCACGGGUGAGUAACACGUAGGUAAUCUGCCUUCAGGUCUGACAUAACCCCGGGAAACCGGGGCUAAUAUCAGAUGAUGCAGCGGCUUGACAUCAAGACAGUUGUUAAAGCUUCGGUGCCUGAAGAUGAGCCUGCGUCUGAUUAGCUAGUUGGCGGAGUAAUGGCCCACCAAGGCUACGAUCAGUAACUGGUCUGAGAGGAUGAUCAGUCACACUGGAACUGAGACACGGUCCAGACUCCUACGGGAGGCAGCAGUAAGGAAUAUUGCUCAAUGGGAGAAAUCCUGAAGCAGCAACGCCGCGUGAGGGAUGAAGGGCUUUUGCUCGUAAACCUCUGUAGUGAGGGAAAAAAUUUCCACUCUGUGGAAUAUGAUGGUACCUCAAAAGUAAGCCCCGGCUAACUACGUGCCAGCAGCCGCGGUAAUACGUAGGGGGCAAACGUUGUCCGGAUUUACUGGGUGUAAAGGGUGCUCAGGCGGUUUUGUAAGUCAGAAGUGAAAUCCUAGAGCUUAACUCUGGAACUGCUUUUGAUACUGCAAGGCUUGAAUGUGGAAGAGGAGGAUGGAAUUUCUGGUGUAGCAGUGAAAUGCGUAGAUAUCAGAAAGAACACCAGUGGCGAAGGCGAUCCUCUGGUCCACUAUUGACGCUAAAGCACGAAAGCGUGGGGAGCAAACAGGAUUAGAUACCCUGGUAGUCCACGCCUUAAACGAUGAAUACUAGACGUUGGGGUUAAACUCAGUGUCGCAGCUAACGCAUU
rnacentral:rRNA from 1 species